AGCGAUCGGUAAAGGCAGUCGGAUCUGAACCUGUUUUACUUUAAACCCAUCUAUUUUAAUUACGUCGAGAAGAAAAAUGAAUUAUCUUUGUGAGGAAAAUAUAGAUAGUGACGAUGACAAUUUUGAUUUUCGCAUCUAUAAUGAUGUAGCUGUUGACUUGGAAAGCAUUUAUAGUGACAGAAAUAAUAGUAAUAUUCUUGCUCCUGGAAGAAGAAGAAAGAUAAGGAAACUAUCGUCGAGUGACGAAAGUGCAGGUGAUGGAGAACCGCGGGAAGAAAAUCUAACUAAGAGUAUUUCUAACGUAAAAUCUUCUGAUUGGCAGGAAAUUUUUACCAAAGAUAUCGUUCCACGACAAUUUGAAUUUUCGACGCGUACAAAAACUCCUGGUCCGCAGGUACACGAUUUAUAUGCUACCAUACGAGUGGGGAAUGCAAAAGACUCCGUAUAGUCCACGACCUGAUAUUGUCGCAGAUACAGUGCGACGCAAAAUAAAUCGGAGUACAAAUUCAUCGCAGUCAAUAUAAAGAUCGCACCGGUAGCUUUCAUCCUUUAACUUUCUUUAAACCCGAUACCUACAUGUAUCAGUGUGCACCAGGAAUGACGACGUCAUAUUUCUUGAAAUAUCCAACGAAUUAUAUCAAACACAAAAUGCCAAUAGUUUCACCUCUCACUUACGAAAGGAGGAUGCAGACACCGUACAUUCCAGAUUUAUCUCUGUCUGGGAUAUAUAAUAAAUCCACUUGUAUUGCUUAUAAACGAUA